UAAAUAGAUACCCCAGGUAGUCCACGCCGUAAACCGAUGAAUACUAGGUGUGGGGGUUUCAACACCUCCGUGCCGCCGCUAACGCAUUAAGUAUUCCGCCUGGGGAGUACGGUCGCAAGAUUAAAACUCAAAGGAAUUGACGGGGACCCGCACAAGUAGCGGAGCAUGUGGUUUAAUUCGAAGCAACGCGAAGAACCUUACCUACACUUGACAUCCCUUGCAUUACUCUUAAUCGAGGAAAUCCCUUCGGGGACAAGGUGACAGGUGGUGCAUGGUUGUCGUCAGCUCGUGUCGUGAGAUGUUGGGUUAAGUCCCGCAACGAGCGCAACCCUUGUCGUUAGUUACUACCAUUAAGUUGAGGACUCUAGCGAGACUGCCUGGGUUAACCAGGAGGAAGGUGGGGAUGACGUCAAAUCAUCAUGCCCCUUAUGUGUAGGGCUACACACGUGCUACAAUGGCUGGUACAGAGAGAUGCAAUACCGUGAGGUGGAGCCAAACUUUAAAACCAGUCUCAGUUCGGAUUGUAGGCUGAAACUCGCCUACA
rnacentral:rRNA from 1 species